rnacentral:tRNA from 1 species
GCGCGCGUAGCUCAGUUGGUAGAGCAUCCGGUUUACACCCGGAAGGUCCUUGGUUCGAGCCCAAGCGCGCGCA